rnacentral:lncRNA from 10 species
GCUAAAUUGCAGAGGGUCCCAGUUUCAUUCAUUCUCCCUCACAGGGAAGGCAUUCUCUUCCUCUUCCUCCAGCUGCCUGAAAAUCAUAUGCGUGGUUUUUCCUGUUUCCUGCUCUGUAGCUGACAUCAGGGGAGCAACGUGAACACAGGAAAAUGGAAAUCAACAUUUGAAACUUUUAAAUGGAAGCUUUAUUGGGGUUCCACAUAUGGAAAACUGCAAAUAGCAGAAGUAUGUGACUCAAUAAAUUAUUCUGGAGUGACCACAUCCUCUAACUGCCUCCCAGGACAAGACGGAGAAUGUGAACAAUGCUCCUGAAGGCCCCUUUCCCUCAAAGAAUCACUGCAAUUGAAGGAAAAAUGCUCCAUGUCCCCUCUGCCAGUUGGUGUUUAUCAAAGGACAACGGAGGAAGAGAGACAAAGUGCCUGGAUGUGUGUGUUAAUCAAGAGUUGUCAGGACCCUGCCUCUAAAAGAAAGCGCUAAAAUGAUGCUUUUGACAAGACUUUUCUCAAAGUGGAUGCAGUCUAAGGGUUGGAAAACAAGGCCCAAUCAGGCUAGGUCUGACUUGUCGCCUGCUUUUGUAAAUAAAGUUUUAUUGGCUCACAG